rnacentral:rRNA from 1 species
UCCCCUAGUAGCGGCGAGCGAAGCGGGAAGAGCUCAAAUUUAUAAUCUGGCACCUUCGGUGUCCGAGUUGUAAUCUCUAGAAAUGUUUUCCGCGUUGGACCGCACACAAGUCUGUUGGAAUACAGCGGCAUAGUGGUGAGACCCCCGUAUAUGGUGCGGACGCCCAGCGCUUUGUGAUACAUUUUCGAAGAGUCGAGUUGUUUGGGAAUGCAGCUCAAAUUGGGUGGUAAAUUCCAUCUAAAGCUAAAUAUUGGCGAGAGACCGAUAGCGAACAAGUACCGUGAGGGAAAGAUGAAAAGCACUUUGGAAAGAGAGUUAACAGUACGUGAAAUUGUUGGAAGGGAAACGCUUGAAGUCAGACUUGCUUGCCGAGCAAUCGGUUUGCAGGCCAGCAUCAGUUUUCCGGGAUGGAUAAUGGUAGAGAGAAGGUAGCAGUUUCGGCUGUGUUAUAGCUCUCUGCUGGAUACAUCUUGGGGGACUGAGGAACGCAGUGUGCCUUUGGCGGGGGUUUCGACCUCUUCACACUUAGGAUGCUGGUGGAAUGGCUUUAAACGACCCGUCUUGAAACACGGACCAAGGAGUCUAACAUGCUUGCGAGUAUUUGGGUGUCAAACCCGGAUGCGUAAUGAAAGUGAAUGGAGGUGGGAACCGCAAGGUGCACCAUCGACCGAUCUGGAUUUUUAAUGAUGGAUUUGAGUAAGAGCACGUAUGUUGGGACCCGAAAGAUGGUGAACUAUGCCUGAAUAGGGCGAAGCCAGAGGAAACUCUGGUGGAGGCUCGUAGCGGUUCUGACGUGCAAAUCGAUCGUCAAAUUUGGGUAUAGGGGCGAAAGAC